CUGUGCGCAGUCAAAGCAUAGUGAAAACCGCUUUCAGCUUUCAGUUGAGCUGCAACGUUACAACCAAACGGUCGCUUCGGUUUUAAGACACGGACUUACUCAACUACGAACAUCAUAAAGUUUGUGUGCGUGUGCGUGCGUGCGUGCGUGUAUUUCUGCUGGACGCAGGCGACAAAGUGAUAAUAAAACAUACAACAACAACAACUCUGUGUAUUUAGUAUUUCAUGCUCCAACGAAAGAAAGAAAGCUCAACGAAAAGAGAAAUGCAAUAAAUUUAAAUAUUUAAAUAAAUUAAAAAAGGAAAUUCUGAUUGAAUCUUGAGCUGUGUGACAGUGAAUUUCAAUAACAAAAUCAAUUUGACUUUAAAGUGUUGCGGCACGCAUAUGUGUUAGUGUGUGUGUGUGUUUGUUGAGAGCAACUGCGCGAAUUGUUGGAAAAGUGAAAUCAUAACUUCGCGAAAUAUAAGUGAAAAUUGUACGAGCAGCAUUAACAACGCUUAAAUUGUCUAUUAAAUUAACAGCUGCGCUUAAAUCAGUCAACAGCAGGCAUUCGUUUGACAUUCUGUGGAGCUUCUUCAAUAGAAUUUUCGUGCAGAUUGGUGUUAGCUGGCAUUAAACAAUAUGAUUCUGCGGACCGCGUAUAUUUGCAUAUUCCUCCUUUACUCCUAUCAUUGCCUAGCACAAUCCACAAAUGAGCUUGAUGCAGCACUGCCCGAACCACGUGCUUACAUACCCGAUUCACAGUAUUUGGACUUUGUCUACCAUGAUCAUGAUGAGUUGACAAGAUUUCUGAGAGCGACAAGCGCCCGCUAUCCCAACCUAACAGCACUUUACUCUAUUGGCAAAUCGAUACAGGGGCGAGAUCUCUGGGUUAUGGUGGUAUCUUCCUCACCCUACGAACAUAUGAUCGGUAAACCGGAUGUGAAAUAUGUGGGCAAUAUCCAUGGCAAUGAGCCGGUGGGUCGUGAGUUGCUGCUGCAUCUCAUACAGUAUUUUGUGACGAGCUAUAAUACCGAUCAGUAUGUGAAAUGGCUGCUGGACAAUACACGCAUACACAUCAUGCCGUCAAUGAAUCCGGAUGGAUUUGCGGUUUCUAAGGAGGGCGCCUGUGAUGGCGGCCAGGGCAGGUAUAAUGCCCGAGGUUUCGAUUUGAAUCGCAACUUCCCUGACUACUUUAAGCAAAAUAAUAAACGUGGACAGCCCGAAACUGAUGCAGUAAAGGAUUGGAUAUCGAAAAUACAAUUUGUCUUGAGUGGCAGUUUGCAUGGCGGCGCUUUAGUGGCGAGUUACCCCUAUGACAACACGCCAAAAACAUGGCUGCUCAAAGGAAUUUGUCGAUCGUCGGCUUUGUGCGCGAUGUUCCAAACGUACUCGGCGGCCCCGUCACUCACACCGGACGAUGACAUCUUCAAGCAUUUAUCACUCGUCUAUGCGAAGAAUCACGCGAAAAUGUCACGUGGUGUGGCUUGUAAAUCGGCUACACCCGCCUUUGAGAAUGGCAUUACGAAUGGCGCUGCCUGGUAUCCACUCACCGGUGGCAUGCAGGAUUACAACUACGUUUGGUACGGUUGCAUGGAGGUAACGCUGGAAAUCUCAUGCUGUAAAUAUCCACCUGCGUAUGAGUUGAAAAAAUACUGGGAGGAUAAUCAGUUGUCCAUGAUCAAAUUUUUGGCUGAGGCUCAUCGUGGUGUGCAAGGAUUCGUGUUGGAUCCCACAGGUACGCCUAUUGAACGCGCCUCGCUAAAGAUUAAAGGACGUGAUGUCGGUUUCCAGACGACCAAGCAUGGCGAGUUCUGGAGAAUAUUGCUGCCCGGUUACUAUAAAUUAGAGGUCUUUGCCGAGGGUUACGCACCACGUGAGGUGGAAUUCAUUGUUGUCGAACAACAUCCAACCCUGCUAAAUGUCUCAUUGACCCCCUCAAAGCUACUUGCUUCACCACCACCAACAAUAACAACAACUGCGAGAUAUGAUUUAACAACAAUUUGGGGCACUAGUAGUGGUGAUAAAGAUAGAAUAAUAUUUCCUAUUAAUUAAUUACGUUUUAAGCCUUAGAUAGAAGAAAAAACUUUUGAAAAAAAAUUAAAUUAAUUUUUCUUGUUAAAUCUUCGGUGUAACUAAAAGUGUAAAUAAAUAUUUUUUAAGGUUGAAGAAAACUUAUUUUUAUAAGCUAAUCUAGAAUUACUAUAUGAGUUGGUACAUUUUAGUCUCGAAGUAUUAUCAAAUGCACAAUUUCCAAGCAAAUAGCAACCUGCGGUGGGUCUAGCAUAGUGAAAAUCUUCUCAUCUAGCAACACUACUGAUGUGAGCAUUACUGUGAACUCAAAGCAGAAUGUCUAGUUUUUUGUUCCCUAACCCCUACCCCAAUAGCGAAGUGUUAAUCAAAACACGUUUAUCACUUUGCCACUAAAUUGACCUUUCUAUACGUUGUGACAAAAAAGUACACGGAAACUGUAAAUAAAAUGCAAAAUAUUUAAUUAAUCAUCAAUAUUUUUUUUGUUGCUUUCAAAGUAAUCCCCACCAGAUGUAAUACACUUAUGCCAAGGAUAUUCGAUCGAUUAGAAACAGGUUCCACCUAACGGCAAUUUCAGUUUGGGGAACAAGAAAAAAUCACACGGAGCCAAUUCAGGUGAAUACGGUGGUUGAUCGAUGGUUUUCAUUGCGCUUUUGGCUUUAAAUUCAGUCAAAAUCGUUGCUCGAUGCGAUGGUGCAUUAUCCAUAAUGGUGUAAAAUUCAUAAAUUAUUCUUUCACAAUUCCAGCCGUUUACGACAGAGAACUCCUUAUUGACCGUCUGUCCCUCCGGAACAAAUUCAUGAUGCAUCAAACCACGAAUAUCGAAAAAAAUAAUGAGCAUCACCUUGAUUUUUCAGUUAAGCAUGUCCAAAGAAUACUCUUUUUGAAAAAAAUUCAGCUUUGUCGAGCAAAAUAUCCACCAAAAUCAUUCGAACGAACUCGUGAGAGAUGCCAAGCUCUCUUGCCAUUUCUCCAACACUUGCCAACGAUUUUCAAGCACCAUGUCCUUCACUUUUUUAUAGUUUUCAUCAGUUGAAGAGGUCGUCGAGAACGAGGCAUGUCUUCAAGGAUCUCUCAAUCGUUUUUGAAGGCUUUGUACCACUCGUAGGCUUGUGUUUUUGAUAUAACUUUGAUAUAACUUUUUUGAUAUAAUAUCCGAGGAAUUUAAUUAGAUUUUCCUGGUGCUUUUUUGUCACAAUCUAUAUACACAAUUGCAAAAACUCUUACGAUAUGUCGAUAUCUACAAUUUUGGGCGUAACUGCUCCCAUAUAUGCCAUUCUUUAAAAAUGAGAAACGCUUUAUGUAAUUUUAUAUUUUCGAAAAUGUUUGAUUCCGAGAAAACGAUCAAGAAAAGCAUUGGUGGAAACAAUAGAAUGAACUUUAGGAAUGUAGCAUAACUUUGGGAACCAAUUUUAUUUAAUUGAUAACACUCACAUACAUACUAUAUGAACUUAGAAUUGAGAAAAUCACGAGGGUUUUUUUUAGACGUGUGGUUUUCAAUGAGGCAAUCCUUUUUCGAAAUUGGUCUUUUUGUCAGCUGUUCCUUGACUUAUACCAUUUUAGUUUGCCAUUUCAUAAUAUACAGACUUACUCAGGAACAACGUUUACAAAUCGGGCAAAUUUAUUACUAAAAUAUUGGUUCGGUUCGAGCGAUGCAUCACGCGCUUCAUUAAAUAUGCGGUCGACAUAAUCGCUCAGCAGAGUCGGCAAUUCGUGUAAAUUUCGCAGAAGAAUUCGAAUCGAACAACCAUAAAGUGCGCUGCACGUAAUCUUACUGUCAAAGGGGAACGCUGUAGAGCCAUGAUUAACGACUUUUCAGUACCAGAAAUGGAAGAUGUUGAUGUGGACGGCAUUUGGUUCGAACAAGACGACACUAUUGCAAUACAGCCAACGAAACAAUCAAUUUAUUGAAUGAAACUUUGGCUGAGCGCAUUAUCUCGCGUCGUGGGCCUGUGCCCUGACAUUCAAAAUGGUGCGAUUAAGACCGCUGAAUUAUCGGGGUUUUCCAUAGAGACGCUACAAAAGUAGACCGAUAGGAACAGCAAACGAUGCCGUAUUUUUUCCCGCUCUUUUGUCAUUUCUCUUCAGCAAGUUUUGCAAUUUCAUACUGGAAAGACAAACGAUCCAACAAUGAGUCGAAAUUACUAAAAUUUACUACCGAAAUUCGGAGUCAGUGGCCUCAACUUUAAUAGCGGGUUUUUUUAAUAAGAGCGCUACAUAAGUUUUUUUUUUGUAAUAAAACAAAAAGAGAAAAAUUCUUUAUUCCUGUGAAAUUACCUUCGUACUCAUUGUCACCAUUGCAUUCCGAAAACAUUACGGUUUGGUGCGGUUUAUAGGCCGGCGGUGUCAUUGGGCCGUACUUCUUCCGUGAUGAUCAAGACCGACACGUUACAGUAAAUGGGAAUUGCUACCGUUCAAUGAGAAUAAUAACCAAAUAUUUUUGGCCCGAAUUGGAUGAUAUGGCCAUGGACAAUAUAUGGUUCCAACAGGACAGCGCCACAAGCCGCAAGCGAAUGUCAGAAUCAAUUUAUUGAAAACCAAGUUUGGUAAACGUGUUAUCUCACGAAAUGGCCCAGUCAAUUGACCGCCUCGGUCGUGCUUAGACUGUUUCCUCUGGGGCUAUGUCAAGUCUAUGCCAACAAGCCAGCGACGAUUGAUGAACUUAGUACGAAUAUCGAACGUGAAAUUGAAGCAGUAUCGGCCGAGUUAUGCUUGAAAACCGUCGAAAAUUGGUUUCAGCUUCGGGACUUCUGCAAGCGUGCCCGUGGAGGACAUGCAAAUACUUUUGUAGCGCUCUUGUUGAAAAAUUUUUAUUGAGGUUAUGUGAAGACGCUUUUCUCAAUAGAUAAACUGGAGACGGUUGUUGUUUAAAAGAGAAUAUUCGGCGCGUUACUGCUGACAUAUGGCCCAAAUCGCUCCAUAAUGUGGUCAAAAAUUGAUCCUCUCGGCUUAGAUUUAUUCAAGCGAGUCUCUAAUGACUUCGGUCAUUUUCCCGAAAUUAUUUUUAAAACAUAAUGGCAACCUCUUAUCGUUAUAAUAAAGCUGUAUUCUUAAAUUAUCUGCACUUUGUUUCUUUUUGAAAACCACAAGUUUAAAAUAAUACCGUUACAAAAAAUAGUUUGCUUGAAUGUAUAAAUAUUAUUAGAAGGACUCCUUUUUCUUAAGUUGCUCGACCUCAGUAAAAUAGCAGACCUCUUGCAAAUAAGCAGUAAAAAUUUUAAUUUCGAACUGAUUUCUCAAAAAAUUAUCAAAUUUAGAAAUUUUUAUUAAUAUAAUAAUUAUUUUUAUUUCUUAAUGCUUAUUUAUAAAAAUUACGAACCAUCCGAUUUAGAUACUUUGUUAAAAUUUUAUUUUUUUUUGCUAAUUUUUUUCUCUAAAACUAUUUUUGUUCUAAAACAAAUACGAUCAUUACUAGUUAUUUUUCGUAAAUAUGCUACUUUUUAGAAAAAUGUGUAUUCUUUCAAUAUUAUUUUGAGGUUAAGGUCUUUUUGAAACAAAAUUUAGAUAUUAAACCAUUUUUAUUUGCUCUGUGCUGGUACUGGAUAAACUGCUUGUAACACGCCCCCUCCUCCAAAACACUCCUACGCAAUUGUAGUAUCUAUGACGCAACGAAGGCACUACGGUACCCUUCUAUCGCCCCUUACCGAUACCACAACAGCAUUAUCGUCCCUCUAGCCCGACCUACAGCGACAGCGGCAUUUUCU